UCGCCACCCCUGGUCUAGUGGCUAGGAUACCUGUCUCUCACCCAUGAGGCCCAGGUUCGAUUCCCGGCGUGUGAU